UAUAAAUAGACCAUUUAUGACGCGUUUCCAAUUCGCUCGUAUCGAUCUAUAUCUAAAGUAAGCCAGUAGUAAAAUCGUACUGAUUUAAACGCGUGGGAAGUUUGAUUACUACAACAAGAAGAUGACGAGUCAACUAUAUAAAAGUAAUGGUAUAUACACUAGUUAUACCAGCACUACUGGCAGAGAUUGUAGAACAAUGGAACCAGGGACACAGUGCUUUUGUCAGCAUGUAUACAAGGAUCACAAGACCGACUUUGAUUUCAUUCCGAAAGAACGUCCAAUCAGAUUGCCUUGCCGUGCGACUGGUUGUAAAUGUGCCAGUUAUCACUAUGUACCGGCAAAGUGCUGUUCAGCCAUAAAGUGUCAUUGUAAACACGCUCCAGAAGAACAUGAAGAAUUUGGAAACUUAGUUUGUA